rnacentral:lncRNA from 1 species
GAACAACAUCUUGAUAAACCCUCCCUUAUACACCAACGUUUGCACCCCCCCACCCCACAGCAAGUCUUGUUCACCGCAGAGACAGACGCUGUUCAGAUCUGAGGUGAAACUUAUGUUUCUGAGGAAAUGAAACUCACUCAGUAGUAACUCAGAGGCCGAGUAGCUCAACAGAAAACCAAGUGGACCGAGAGAGAUUCUGCUGCUCUCUCUGUUUGGAUCUACUAAAGGAUCCAGUAACAACCUUCUGAGGACAAAACUACUGCAGAAACUGUAUUCAAAGACACUGGGAUGAAGAGGAUGAGAGGGGAAUCUACAGGCCCACAGUGCAGACAGGUCUUUCUACCGAGGCCUGACCAGAGGACAAACACCAUGUCAGCAGGUUCAUCGAAGGAUCUGAAGAAGACUGGACUCCAAGAUGCUCCUGCAGACCCCUGCUAUGCUGGACCUGAAGAUGUGGCCUGUGAUGUCUGCACUGGGAGGAAACGGAAAGCCAUCAAGUCUUGUCAUCAGUGUCUGGCCUCUUACUGUAAGACACACUUCAAUCACCAUUUGAUGUCACCUCCAUUAAAGAAACACAGGGUGGUGAAGCCGUCCAAGAACCUCCAGGAGAACGCCUGCUCUAUUCACAAUGAGGUGAUGAAGAUGUUCUGUCGUACUGAUCAGAAGUCUUUCUGUAUUCUCUGCUCUGUGGAUGAACAUAAAGGCCAUGACAUAGUCUCAGCUGAAGCAGAAAGAGCUGAGAAGCAAAAAGAUCUGGAGGUGAGUCGGAGAAACAUCCAGAAGAGAGUCCAGGACAGAGAGAGUGAUGUGAAGCUGCUUCAAAAGGAGGUGGAGGUUAUCAAUAGUUCUGCUGAUAAAGCUGUGGAGGACAGUGAGAAGAUCUUCACUGAGAUGAUCCGUCUCAUGGAGAAAAGACGCUCUGAUGUGAAGCAGCAGGUCAGAUCCCAGCAGAAAACUGAAGUGAGUCGAGUCAGAGAGCUUCUGGAGGAGCUGAAGCAGGAGAUCACUGAGCUGAAGAGGAGAGACGCAGAGACGCAGAGCUGCAGAAGCUCUCACUCACAGAGGACCACAACCAGUUUCUAAAAAACUACCACUCACUGUCAGCGAUCAGUAAAUCUACACAUUCACCCAUCAAUGAAACCAAAAAUCUGAGGUACUUUGAGGACGUGACAGCAGCUGUGAGAGAAGUCAGAGACAAACUGCAGGACGUUCUGAAGGAGACAUGGAGAAACAUCUCAAAGACUGUGGAUAAAGUGGAUGUUUUACUGUCAGAACCAGAACCAGAACCAAGGACCAGAGCUGAGUUCCUUAAAUAUUCACGCAACAUCACACUGGAUCCAAACACUGCGCAUAAAUGUGUAUUAUUAUCUAAUGAGAACAGAAAAGCCACAUUUAUAUGGAGACAACAGGUUUACUCUCGUCACCCAGAAAGAUUCACUGAUUGUCCUCAGGUCCUGAGUAAGAAGAGUCUGACUGGACGUUGUUACUGGGAGGUGGGGUGGAGAGGAAGAGUUUUUGUGGCAGUUUCAUACAAGAGUAUCAACAGAUCAAGGAGCUCGGAGGAAUGUGGAUUUGGACACAACAACAAAUCCUGGGUAUUAUAUUGUAACAAUGAUGGAUAUAACUUUUGGAACAACAACAUUCGCACUCUUGUCUCAGGCCCUCAGUCCUCCAGAGUUGGAGUGUACCUGGAUCACAGAGCAGGUAUUCUGUCUUUCUACAGUGUCUCUGAAACUAUGACUCUCCUCCACAGAGUCCAGACCACAUUCACUGAGCCUCUACAUGCUGGUCUUGGGUUCCGUGGUCCCAUUAAUUCAAUUCAGUCUGAGGCUGAGUUCAGUGAAUUGAAAUAGUCAGAACUGAUUUUAGGGACAGCAGGUUUGAUUCUGUUUUCGAUCUAAAUCUUUCUCUGUCUUCACAUAAAUGACACACCCUGUUUAUUGUAAAAAUCUGUGUGUUGUGGUUUUAAUCAAACCUAUUCAAGUGUGAACUUUUAGAAAUACUUCUGCUACUGCUCAUGUUGAUCUGGUGUAUUUGUUCAAACAGCUUUAUGUGAAAUAAAAUCAUAUCUCACA